rnacentral:rRNA from 1 species
GCAUAUCAAUAAGCGGAGGAAAAGCAUAGAGAGAAGGUAGCAAUUUCGGUUGUGUUAUAGCUCUUUAUUGGAUUCGCCCUGGGGGACUGAGGAACGCAGCGUGCUUUUAGCAUAAGCUUCGGCUUAUCCACGC